rnacentral:lncRNA from 1 species
CCUCCCCAUGGGCAGUCCUCCUUAAACACUGGAUGAAUAACUGAGAAGCCUCCAAGGCUGGGCUCUCCUGGGCUGCCUUCCCUCCCGACUGCCUGCUCCAGGUCUCAUCGUCUCAGGACCCGGGAAAAAGUCCCAUUGCCAUGAAGGCCCCGUGAGAGGAAGGCUGGGCUUUGGCGUCAGAAAGGCCGAGGUUUAAGUGCUCUCCAGCUGCUUACAUGCUGAGUGGCUGUGGAUGCUCUUGCUGCCUCUUCCCAUUCCCUCAGCAUGCUGGCUGAACUUCCCACAGCCAGCACCUGUGAGUCUUCACUCGAGGCUUCUCUCUUGGGCUGCACUGUCCAAAUACAGGUUGCCCUCCAACUGGCUGAGGACCCCUCGGUGCCUUCCCACUCUUCAGUCAUGGCUACUGCAAGUGCCAGGAAGCUGACAUGUGGACUGUAGUCACCACUCCCUUCCCUCUAAAUUUGGCAGGAUAUUGGAGGAAGGUAGGAGAAGGAGGUCUGGGUAUUUAUUCUUUAGCUACUCUAUUAGUCCGUUUUCAUACUGCUAAUAAGGACAUAACCAAAACUGGGUAAUUUAUGCAGGAAAAAGGUUUCAUGGACUCACUGUUCCACAUGGCUGGGGAGACCUCACAAUCAUGGCUGAAGGCAAGGAGGAGCAAGUCAUGUCUUACAUGGAUGUCAGCAGGCAAAAAGAGAGCUUGUGCAGGGAAAGUCCCCCUUAUAAAAUGAUCAGAUUUCAAGAGACUUAUUCAGUAUCAUGAGAACAGCAUGGGAAAGACCUGCCCCAAUGGUUCA